CUUAAAUGGGAUAUAUUGGGUUCAUGACCCAAAACCAAUUGCAACGGGGAAUAUUUGUGAUAAUUCGUCGGUCUGAGACGAAUUAGCAUUGCUGCAAGCAAAAUGGCGUGACCCCAAACCGAAGUGGGCAGCCUCGUUUUCAUGAGUAACGGUCUUUCUAUCAACUGCAUACGUUUAAUUAAAGAUUCUGCAAGACCAUGUUGAGUG
rnacentral:lncRNA from 1 species